rnacentral:lncRNA from 1 species
GAUCUUUUGCAUAGCUUGAAGUGGUGUUUGAAUAUGCAUUUUCUCUGAACACCUGAAUUAGAAUGGACUGAUAUCUGUGAACCAUGUGGAGUAGCCACAUGGCUCUCCACAUGUGCCUUCACACCACAUCCAGGCAUGAUACUGCAUGCUAAUUCAAAUUGUUCAGUGCUGGCUGUCUUUGUCUCUAACUCCCCAAGAAUGGGGAAGGUUCUUCUGCUUUCCUACAAAGUUUAAUACUGCUGCUGACAACUCAGGCCUUGUGACCUUGCUGACUGAGAGGACCAAUAAGAUCUGGAAUUAUCAAGAUACUGGAGAUGCCAUGUGUUCUGAUGCCAGACUGACUGAUGAACAGCAAACUCACAGCCACGGGCAGCUCUUUUUAAAAGUCCUCUGAGAUGCAGAAGAAACACCCAGGGUUUGAAAGAUUUACCUGGGCAGCUCAAGGAGAAUGAAAGAGGGAAGCUUAACCAAACUCCAAGACACUCUUAAGGAAAUAGGAUAGGGGAGUGUAAAAAGUGAAUGCUGAGCCCCUAGUGGUAAGACAAGGUUGAAGUUUCAAAUGUGUUCAAUGCAAUCACAUCUUCCUGGAUCAUGAAGAAGCAGCAGAGAAAUUUCAGUUAAUAGCCUGAGGUUGAACAGACUAUCCUGGCACUCUUAAUAAGUUUAGAGUUUAAGUAGGACAUUUUUAUAUUUCAGCAUGUUCCAGCCUUCUGGCCAACACUCAAGAAUCUGUCAUUAUGGAAGGAAGGGGAGCUGGAUCAAGGAUAAUGAGCUUUGGACUCUACAGAAGGAGCUGUGGGACUCCCAUUCCAGUGUGCCACUUAGCUGGCAAGUCCAAGUGACCAACACAAGGAAGGGCUCCACCUUUUCAGACUUUAGUUUGGUCAACAUAUGGAUUUGUGAGUUUAGAAAAAUACAAAUACCACUCACUGCAAAGUCCUGCUAUUCACAGGGAUUCUUCAAAUAUUUUUGUACUUGUAAAGAAACUUCAUAUUCAUAGUAGAAACCAAUAGAAGUUCAUUACUUGGGUGACUUGGGAGGGCAAUUAUACUAAAACGUUAGCUUGUUAUUUAUAAUCUAGAUCAUAGGGUAUGUUGAGACAAUAUUAUAUCAACAUAUUAACGUAUGAUACAAUCUAGAAUCACCCAAGAAGAGGGUCUCAAUGAGAGAUUGUGCUCAGGUGUCCUGUGACCAUGUAUGUGGGGAUUCAACUUGAUUACAUUAAUUGAAGUUGGAAAGUUUUCUUAUCAUGGGUUCUAGACUAAGCUUAUGCAUGAGGAUUUGAGCAAGAAGAAGAGUUCCAAGAAGAGAUGUGCAUCCCUAAUUUUUUUUGAAUGCUUGGACAACAUGGAGAAGACCCUGGGCAUGGGUCAUGGACAGCGGUGUAAGAGUAGAGAAAGCAAUGAGUGCAGGUUUGCCCACUUUUAUUUCCCCUCAGCUCUGGACUAGCUAUGUCUACUGAGCAACUAUAUAAUGAUGUGGCUGGCUGCUUUAAAUUCCUGCCUAGACUCUCUCCCGUGAUGGACUGUCACCUGAAACUGUGAGGCCAACCAAGACUUUCUUUCUCAAAGUUGGUUUUGUUAGGGUACUUUAGCAAUGCUAUCUGGAAAUGAAAUGAAAACAACUACUGUGUAAGAUAUUAGUAACGCCAAUUAACCAUUACAAAAGCUUUGAAAUUGUU